GUUAGAUUUAAAUGCAUUUAUGUUAUAGAUGACUGAAUGAUGUACUUACAAAUGCUUGAAACUAGAGAAGACACACAGCAAGCAACACAUUUAUGAAAUAGAAUUGGCACAUGAGAAACGGACAUCUGAACAGUGAUGGUUAAGAUGCCCCUAACCCAUCAGUAAAAGAAUUUCCUAACACCUCAAUGUCCAUGAAAAAUGUGUACAAGAUGGUCAACUAGAACUACCUAUAGGUAAAGGCUCAGCUGUCCAUAAUAAGAUCUAUUCAAUUUUGUUAGAUAGAAGCACCACCGUCACUACCAUUCAAACCUGAAGAAUCAUCUCCUAACUUUAUGCCUUCUAUUGGAGGCAGUGUAGCAUUAGAUGGCAGCUGUUCAUUGCCACCAAAAACCUCGUUCAGUUUCNNNNNNNNNNNNCCAUCAUUUUCAUUGUAUCCACUCACCAUCAUAACACCACCAUUCACGUAAGCCGGAUAAAGAAACCCAUUGUUAUAAGGUGAAGGACAGAUUGUGGCUCCAAUCAGCACAGGUCCAUUCCAAGGGCUCCUUGGGGUAACUGGUGUAAAACCAAUGUCAGGUCUGCCAUAUCCUACCAUAGGGUAGCCACCAAAGAAGCCUGUUCCACAAAAAUACCCUCCAACACCACUAUACCCAGGAGUUGGAACAUAGCCUGGGAGAAUUUCAUAUCCAGGACCAUAAGGAACAUAACUUCCAGGUUGAGAAGUCUUAGUGGAAAGCCCUCUUACGCC
rnacentral:misc_RNA from 1 species